AAUUAUAUACUUUAUGUAUAGGGUGAUGAAUAAAUAAAUUUAGAAAAAACUUCAAAUACCUUUCACGUGAUUUCGCAUAUUUUUAUUUUAGUAUCACGUGGUUUAAAGUGUAUCAAUUUAAUAUCUCGUAAUUUUUUUUUUUUGUCUUCUCUACUAUUUUUUUUAAUUAAUAAAAAAAUUAAAAUUAAAGGAUACUAAAAUGAAUAUUCAAUAAACUUAAGUAAAAUAUCUAAAAUUUUUAAUAUAUAAUUUAAUAAAAUAUUAACUAAGAAACUGACAGAAAAAAUAAAAAAAAAUCAUAUGGCACUAAAUUAAUAUAUUUUAAACUAUAACAUAUUAAAGUAAGAAAAUGUAAAAUUAUAAAAAUAAUAUUUAAAAUUUAUCUAUAAAUUUAUAAUAAUAAAUAAUAAAAUUAUAAAAUUGAUAAGU
rnacentral:lncRNA from 1 species